UCACUGGGUGUUGGGUUCCGCAGGGCUGCUGAGCCGGAUCAUUUCCAGGGUUCUGCUGUUUCAUUGAGGGUGUUAACGUACAAACCAGGAAAUGCUGCUGCCUUGUGGACUGCAAACACAGAGAGUAAUGAAAUAGAAUAGAAAAUGGGAGUUUCUAAAGGCAGCUGCAUCAUGAAUUUUUCUUAAUGUUGUCAGAAGGAGGAAAUUAUAACAAACGUGUUUAAGUAUCGGCCAAAGUAUUUUUACCAGGAAGCACUGGAGGCAGAGCAUUAGAAAUGGAGUAUAACAAGGUCUAGAUUCUAUAGAUGUGUAUAUUCUAUAGAUUUCUUAAAAGUCAGAGAACAAAAAGAAGAGACUGUUUAAUCCAACAGGAGGGGAUUUUCUCCCUGCUGCUCGUGCAGUGCCUGACACCGUGGGGCCCAGAUCAGCUGGUCCUGGGACAGCAGUCUUUAAAAAUCCACUUCAACCCAGCAAAAGAAACCUGGAGUGAUUGAAGCUUGAUUGGUUUGAUUUAUUACUUAAAUCCAGAUACAAAUAGCAGUUGAUGUGCUUUAUUUUAAAGAAAAGAUUCUAUCUGUAUUAAUCACACACUGGAAACAGAAACAGAACAUUCUAUUCACAUAAUGGGUUUCUAACAUGCUUUAUAAGUGGUCCUGGAUUGCUGUGAUCCAUAUUUUCUUAUAAUUCUGUAAAUAUAAUCUGUCAUAUUAGAAGUCACUUCACAGGCUUUAUUUAGUUAAUUAGGCCUCUAAGAACAACUCUUAAUAAUUCCUGUUUCUCUUUCCUCAUGCUGCCUUUUAAGUAGGAAAACACGAGUCUGUGUAAAAAAUAGUGGAAAUGAUGCUAUGUGAGGUGAGCAGCCAAAGGGCAAGGAAGCAGACUGAGAAAAUGAACGAAAUGCUUUGUCCGUAAUACACUAUAAUGACAGGAGAUGUUAAAAGAAACAUUCUGUUAGCUUUACAUAUGUUGGUGGGCAUUUGGUAGCAGUGCUGAUGGCCACUGUAGUCACUGUAGUGGUUCACCACGUUACCUGUGUGGCUGCUCCUCGUUUGACAUCUGACUGGUAGGAAAGACAUUAACGGCGUGUGCUGGUUUCUGGUAAUAAUGAAUAGAAUCAUAGAAUAGUUUGGGUUGGAAGGGACCUCAAAGCCCAUCCGGUUCCAACCCCUGCCGUGGGCAGCGACACCUCCCACUGGCUCAGGCUGCCCAAGGCCCAUCCAACCUGGCCUUGAACCCCUCCAGGGAUGGGGCAGCCACAGCUUCCCUGGGCAACCUGGGCCAGGGCCUCACCACUCUCAGCGUGAAGAAAUUCCUCCUUAUGUCCAGUCUAAAUCUGCCCCUCUCCAGUUUAUACCCAUUGCCCCUUGUCCCAUCCCCACAAGCCUUUGGAAACAGUCCCUCCCCAGCUUUCUUGUAGCCCUUUCAGGUACUGGAAGGUCAUUAUAAGGUCUCCUCUGAGCCUUCUCUUCUCCAGGCUGAACAACUCGAACUCUUCCAGCCUGUCCUCUUAUAGGAGGUGCUCCAGCUCUCUGAUCAUCUUUGUAGCCUCCUCUGGACCCAUUCCAACAGCUCCAUCUCCUUCUUCUGUUGAAGAUUCCAGAACUGGACACAGUACUCCAGAUGAGGUCUCACAAGAUAGGA